CCUACGGGAGGCAGCAGUAGGGAAUAUUGCUCAAUGGGGGAAACCCUGAAGCAGCAACGCCGCGUGGAGGAUGAAGGUUUUCGGAUUGUAAACUCCUGUUGUUAGAGAAGAUAAUCACGUUAUCUAACGAAUAAGCACCGGCUAACGCCGUGCCAGCAGCCGCGGUAAUACGGAGGGUGCAAGCGUUAGUCGGAAGCACUGGGCGGAAAGAGCGCGUAGGCGGGAUAGCAAGUCAGAUGUGAAAUCCUAUGGCUUAACCAUAGAACUGCAUUUGAAACUGUUAUUCUAGAGUAUGGGAGAGGUAGGUGGAAUUCUUGGUGUAGGGGUAAAAUCCGUAGAGAUCAAGAGGAAUACUCAUUGCGAAGGCGACCUGCUAGAACAUAACUGACGCUGAUGCGCGAAAGCGUGGGGAGCAAACAGGAUUAGAUACCCUAGUAGUC
rnacentral:rRNA from 1 species